AAACCCAUACAGAAUAGAAAGCCAUUAAAAAAGCCCCAAAAUGACAAAUGUAAAAUAAUUCAAACGAUAAACUUUUCCAUAUGGUUAGCUCUUAUACUCAUCAAUGACACAAAAACCACACGACCCAAAAAAAAAAAAAAAAAAAACGUCUUCAGGUCAUCAUAUGGUCUUAAAAAUGGUCAAGGUCCUUUCGGAUAUGUUAAGCUCGAAAUAGAUUAUCUAAAAAUAGGUUUUAAUUAAUUUUUGAGCACUCUGCUAAUAUCAAUCAAUAGAAUGACAAACAUAACCUCAAAUCAGUUAAAAAAAAGCUCUUACGUCUUUAACACUUGUAAAGGAGACAAUAAGAAGUAGAACAAUAAUUGAUAAUACAUUAUCAAAGUUUGCAGACUUUAAAUGAAAAUAUGCGUUCCACAAACAGACUUUAACAGUAAUAUUGUUUCAAAAAAUAACACGUUUUUGAGUAACACUUAUAGAAUCUUAGAGAAUUUUUCUUCAUGGCUAAAUAGACUUAUUGAUAUAGUCAUAAUCAUAUUAUUGGUUUUAAUGUAUUUUUAAUUUAUCUACAUCGAAGGUAUUUACGAUACUCUGUAUUAAAUGGCGUUGUGUUAUACCUAUGAUUUUAGGUCCCCUUGGACAUAUAGCUCUUCACAUUUUUUUAUUUUAGGUCCCCUUGGACAUAUAGCUCUUCACAUUUUUUUAUUUUAGGUCCCCUUGGACAUAUAGCUCUUCACAUUUUUUGAUUUUAGGUCCCCUUGGACAUAUAGCUCUUCACAUUUUUUUUAUUUUAGGUCCCCUUGGACAUAUAGCUCUUCACAUUUUUUGAUUUUAGGCCCCCUUGGACAUAUAGCUCUUCACUUUUUUUUAUUUUAGGUCCCCUUGGACAUAUAGCUCUUCACAUUUUUUUAUUUUAGGUCCCCUUGGACAUAUAGCUCUUCACAUUUUUUUAUUUUAGGUCCCCUUGGACAUAUAGCUCUUCACUUUUUUUUAUUUUAGGUCCCCUUGGACAUAUAGCUCUUCACAUUUUUUGAUUUUAGGUCCCCUUGGACAUAUAUCUCUUCACUUUUUUUUAUUUUAGGUCCCCUUGGACAUAUAGCUCUUCACAUUUUUUUUAUUUUAGGUCCCCUUGGACAUAUAGCUCUUCACAUUUUUUGAUUUUAGGCCCCCUUGGACAUAUAGCUCUUCACAUUUUUUGAUUUUAGGUCCCCUUGGACAUAUAUCUCUUCACAUAUUCCUAUAUAUUUCCUUGGUUUUCAACUACUUGGAUUUGAGCGUACCUGAUAAAAGUAAAUCCAGGAAAGUACUUCGGACGCCUUGGAUUUGAGCGUACCUGAAAAAGGUAAAUCCAGGAAAGUACUUCGGACGAUACAUAAAGUGUUAUUUGUUUUCUUUGAUAAGGCGUAUACAAUCUUUCAGAAUAACAGCCUCCGAUAUAACAUGUAUGACGGCAUGAUUUCAUACCAGCAACAUAAGUAUUUUGAAUUUGCUUAUUGCAACUACAAGAAUUCGCGGAUAGGCGAUACUGUUUGUCAUAAUUUGUUUGUUUGCUUAUUAUUAUUAUUAUUAUUGUAUUUUGUCUCUCCUACCGGUGUUACAACGCCAAAUGUAAGCACUGAAACGUAUGAGAAAAGAAGAUUAGACAAAACAGCCCCCAUUCUGUGGAUUGAUUUGCCAAGUGAACUACAAAACAUACAGGCUGUGAACGUUUUAAGGAAAAGCCUGAAGACUCAUUUAUUCGGACAUGCUUUUUCAUGGCCCUUAAAAUAUUCUACCUCAUUAUAUCUUUUUUUUAUUUUUAAUUAAAUAUUUUGGAAAAUCUAACUACUAGUACUUUUUAUUUGAACAGAUUUAUUGGAUGCACUGGAAGGUAAAUAGUAAUAACUUAUUCUUAAAAAGAACACAUUCAACACAACAAAUCAUUGAGCAACUGUUAAGAAAAGGUUUAAUUAACAAAUGGGAACGCAUGGAAAAGAUAAAAAAAAACAAUAUUAUGGCUCAACACACUCGAAAGAUUUGUGCACGCCGUAUUUCUAA